rnacentral:other from 1 species
ACUUCCCAGGCCGGAACGAAAAAGCAGGAAUGACUAUUUUCAGGAAUGCUUUUGGCUUUGUGGUUGUGAUGUUGUGUUUGCAAGUUGUCUGACACCUUUCAGACAUGGUAGCGGCGUGAGCCCCUGCCGUUUUUCACUUCCUGUACAUUUACCCUGUCUGUCCAUAGUGAUUUAGUAGCACCGCCCGUUGCGGUGCUUUUUUUU